rnacentral:lncRNA from 1 species
UCUCGUCCAACUGAUACUGUUUACCACAUCCUAAACAGAGCUAUAACUAUGGAAAAGCACAAACAUAUUCCAGUUUUUCUAUAAUAACCAACAUAUUGUUAUUGAUUAAUAGUAAUGUUUAUAGAAAAAUAUAGAGUAAAUCAAAUUUAUUUUGAUAUCAAUAGAUGUUGAUUUAAUAAUGAAAAAUUCAUAACAAUUAUAAAAUAAUUUCUUCCAAUUAAAAAGCAAUUUUUUUUCUUUUUAUCUUUUU